rnacentral:misc_RNA from 1 species
GAUGAAGAACGCAUCGAAAUGCGAUAAUUAAUGUGAAUUGCAGAAUUCCGUGAAUCAUCGAGUCUUUGAACGCACAUUGCGCCCCCUGGUAUUCCGGGGGGCAUGCCUGUCCGAGCGUCAUUGCUGCCCUCAAGCACGGCUUGUGUGUUGGGCCUCCGUCCUCCUACCGGGGGACGGGCCCGAAAGGCAGCGGCGGCACCGCGUCCGGUCCUCGAGCGUAUGGGGCUUCGUCACCCGCUCUUGUAGGCCCGGCCGGCGCUUGCCGACACAUCAAUCUUUUUUCCAGGUUGACCUCGGAUCAGGUAGGGAUACCCGCUGAACUUAAGCAUAUCAAUAAGCGGAGGA